GCUCUCAGAAGGCGGGAAAAAGCUGAAUGAUGUAAUUCCAGCCACUGGCUGAAAAACAUUAGCGCUUUUGGCAAGUGCUCUAUCAGAGGACAAUGGGCUGAGGCGCGUGCACGAGUCGACCCCAUGUUUUUAUUUUCUUUCGUCUUUGAACCUAAACACAGAUUCCCGGUCGGAAUAUUAUCGCUUUUUUACAAGAAAAAUGGCAUAAAAAUUGAUUUUAAACAGCGGUUGACAUGCUUCGAAGUACGGUAAUGGAAUAUUUAGAAUUUUUUGGUCACGAAAUGCGUUGUGCGCGUCACCCUUCUUUACCAUUCGGAUAGUGUCUUGAAUGCACAAACAAAACAGAGGAUAUUUGAACUUAACUAUGGAUUAUUUUGAACCAAACCAACAUUUGUUAUUGAAGUAGAAGUCCUGGGAGUGCAUUCUGACGAAGACAGCAAAGAUCAAUAAAGCAGAGGACCUGUCAGAGGUAAAGAACAAAUUGGAGGAAUUGGUAGACUGGCUGAGCCUACUGGGGCUGAAAAUGAUUGUUAUCAAGACAAUGGAGGACAGGGAUGGUGUGGUUGAAAUGGUGGCUCAACAAUUUGUCCAAGGGAGCAUGCAGAUGGCCUUGGAGUAGUUCAAAUAUGGUCUCAAAUCUCUUGGGCUGCUGUAGGCAUUGGGAACCACCCGGACAGCUUCCGAGCACUUUUUGUGGACUCCGUAAAGCUUCCCACUGCCAGGGACCCGAGGGACCUGUUUAAAGUAACCUAUUCCAUAUCUGGCGGCAACAGGCGGUGGUUGGAGAACGAUGCCAUCUGCCACUGGUUCAACUGGCUGGCCGAUAGUAGAUCAAUUGUUCAAGAUUAUCACUAACUGCAUAUUAUUCCAUUUGUGAUUUAAAUGUGUAUUUUAAAUGUUUUACUGUGUACUCCUCAGAUGGAGAAUGUCCACCUCUAACAGUGGCGAUGGUGUUGUCAUUUGCUACUGGGGCAACAGUGGUGACACCCCGACCAUCGAAUUCCUCCACACAGCACAUGGGAGUCUUGCUAGGCAGCAGAAGAAAAAGUACCCAGAGGCAAAAACAUGUGCUGUGACACUAAGGCUCCCUCUUCAUAGCACCCACAAUGCCUUUAGGGAUUUCAUGGUUUCUGGUAUUAUGAAUUCCCCACAUUUCGGUGUUGCAUAAAUACACCUUCGCGGAAAGUGACACAAAUGUACAAGUCUGUGGGACUUGUUCUACCUUCCUUCUCCCACUGUUUCAUAUAUGUACUAGCUAUGUACUGAAGACUUGUACAUUUCCACCCUGUUCUUUGAAUGUCUUAAUGUACCUCUUUUCUGCCCACUUGUCAGACUAAUGGAGACAAGUGAGCAGAUAUAUUUUGCAGCUUAAUUCAUUGUUUUUCAAAAAAGAUUUAAGCAUUUAUCUAUUUACCGUCUAUGUAUUAUUAGUACAAUGCAUUUAGAAAGUAUUCAGACCCCUCUUCUUUUUACACAUUUUAUUACGUUACAGCCUUAUUCUAAAAUAGAUUUUUU
rnacentral:lncRNA from 1 species